CCUCACUUAUACUUUCGGGGGCCUAAGGCACACCCGAAACGCAUGCAUGUUCGGCGGCCGAACCUGAGUUUUCCUCCAAGGUUGUUUUCAUGCAAAAACUCAUUUCCUUUUUACUUAAAACCAUGAAAUACAUCAAAACAUUUUAUGAAAACAUGUUUCUACCCUACUAGAGGCUUCCGACAUCCGAGAUUCCACCGGACGGUAGGAAUUCC
rnacentral:lncRNA from 1 species